AACCUCAACUGCCGGUAAGCUGUCCGGACUCCUACGGGAUCCGACCUUCGCCUUUAACUUUGAUUGCAGGAAGACUCCACCCGGACUCCUACGGGAGCCUGGCUUCGUCCCCAACUCCGACGGCUACAGACAGAUUGCGUCCGGACUCCGUCCGGACUCCUACGGGAGCCGGGCUCCAUCCUCAACCUCAACUGCUGGUAAGCUGUUCGGACUCCUAUGGGAGCCGACCUUCGCCUUUAACUUUGAUUGCAGGAAGACUCCGCUCAGACUCCCACGGGAGCCGGGCUCCACCCACUACCCCAACCGCAAGGAGGACUCCGCCCGGACCCCUACGUGGGGUCAGACUCCGACCACGGCCGAACUUCAGCCGACAGGUCUGCACUCCCAGGCC
rnacentral:lncRNA from 1 species